GAUGAACGCUGGCGGCGUGCUUAACACAUGCAAGUCGAACGAAGCACUUUAUUUGAUUUCCUUCGGGACUGAUUAUUUUGUGACUGAGUGGCGGACGGGUGAGUAACGCGUGGGUAACCUGCCUUGUACAGGGGGAUAACAGUUGGAAACGGCUGCUAAUACCGCAUAAGCGCACAGCAUCGCAUGAUGCAGUGUGAAAAACUCCGGUGGUAUAAGAUGGACCCGCGUUGGAUUAGCUAGUUGGUGAGGUAACGGCCCACCAAGGCGACGAUCCAUAGCCGACCUGAGGGGGUGACCGGCCACAUUGGGACUGAGACACGGCCCAAACUCCUACGGGAGGCAGCAGUGGGGAAUAUUGCACAAUGGGCGAAAGCCUGAUGCAGCGACGCCGCGUGAGCGAAGAAGUAUUUCGGUAUGUAAAGCUCUAUCAGCAGGGAAGAUAAUGACGGUACCUGACGAAGAAGCACCGGCUAAAUACGUG
rnacentral:rRNA from 1 species